GACGAACGCUGGCGGCGUGCUUAACACGUGCAAGUCGAACGAUGAAGCCGGAGCUUGCUCUGGUGAAUUAGUGGCGAACGGGUGAGUAACACGUGAGUAACCUGCCCUUGACUCUGGGAUAACUGCGGGAAACUGUAGCUAAUACCGGAUACGACCCUCGGAGGCAUCUCCUGGGGGUGGAAAGAAUUUCGGUCAAGGAUGGACUCGCGGCCUAUCAGCUAGUUGGUGAGGUAAAGGCUCACCAAGGCGACGACGGGUAGCCGGCCUGAGAGGGUGACCGGCCACACUGGGACUGAGACGCGGCCCAGACUCCUACGGGAGGCAGCAGUGGGGAAUAUUGCACAAUGGGCGCAAGCCUGAUGCAGCAACGCCGCGUGAGGGAUGACGGCCUUCGGGUUGUAAACCUCUUUUAGCAGGGAAGAAGCGAAAGUGACGGUACCUGCAGAAAAAGCACCGGCUAACUACGUGCCAGCAGCCGCAGUAA
rnacentral:rRNA from 1 species